GUCCACGCCCUAAACGAUGCGAACUGGACGUUGGGCACACUUAGGUGCUCAGUGUCGAAGCUAACGCGUUAAGUUCGCCGCCUGGGGAGUACGGUCGCAAGACUUAAACUCAAAGGAAUUGACGGGGCCCGCACAAGCGGUGGAGUAUGUGGUUUAAUUCGAUGCAACGCGAAGAACCUUACCUGGCCUUGACAUGUCCGGAAUCCUGCAGAGAUGCGGGAGUGCCUUCGGGAAUCGGAACACAGGUGCUGCAUGGCUGUCGU
rnacentral:rRNA from 1 species